UAUAGAAGAUGGCCAAACUGAACUAUCGGCUGAUAAGUUGUUAGCAUCAUCUCUUUUGGAUCGUAAUAUUGGUGAUGAUCAUCAUAAUGAUCAUAGUUGGAAAAGGUGGAGUAUGAUUUUGAUAGCCAU